UUUUUUUUCUCCUUUCCUUUUUAUUUUUUCCCCAAACAGGAACAAUUUAUUUCCACUUUUGGGCAGGUUUCUUGGCCAAGGGUGAGCUCUCCCUGUUGCCUCUUCCCGGUGUCCCCCAGGUGACCUUACAAAGUGCCUCAGGGACCCAACUUUAGUGAAUAGAAAAAUCAAAAUAUGCAAAUGGAGCUGGGAUUAUUACAUAUAUAAUCACGAAAACAUUUUUCCUGCACUAUUGCCUGUGCCCAGCUUCCUGCCCUACUGCUCUGAGUGCCUCUGUGCUGUCUAUAGCUGUUAAGCUGAAGCACCCGAGGAUGGCUCUGAAGCAGGAAGAGAGUUUUCAAUCUGCAGGAUGGUUUUCCAGACACUUUCUUUCUCAUUCUCCUCAAGAUAGUUGCCGUUCCUCCGGAUUUCACUGUUAUUAUUUGGAUGUCUCUGCUUCAGAGGGAAGGGGGGAUGAAUGGCUCGUUCAGCCUCUUCAGUCCACUCUAGUUCUAUUUUAGUUUGAGCAGCCUGUGCUACUUUGAGAGACGGGAGCAGUUCAUGCCAAUAACUCAAUCUUUCUGCAAAGUUCAGCAUCUCAGGCUGAAAAAAAACCCCACCCAAACCUAAAAGUAAAACUACACAAUGAAGGCAGCUGAGUCUUGCAGUCAGGUCCAGGUGAUUGAAAGUUUACAUCCUGAGUCACAGAAUCCUAGAAUGGUUUGGGUUGGAAGACCCAAAAGACCACCUAGUUCCAGCCCCUGCUGUGGGCAAGGACACCUUCCGCUAGAUCAGGUUGCUCCAAACCCCAUCCUUGCCCUAAUUUGGCUUUUCCUGGCUUUCUCCCUUCAAAGUAGAAGUGAUGAAAUUCAUUUGGGCAUUUUAGUGAAUGAAAGGAUGCAUAAUGAGUCAGGAAAUCCUACUCACCUUAGCAGUUAAACAGAUGUUUGAAGUCUGAGGCCUGAAGUCUCUGUACAGCCAGUGAGGAAAAGUGUGGGAUGCUGAUGACAGAUGUGGAGGAACACUUAUCUGAAAACAUGUAUUUUUAUUCUGAUAUAAACCUCAGUUUUGUUCCUUUCGUUUUUAAUGCUAUGUGCAGUAUUUUAAGGCAUAUGUAACCAGUAAAACCCCAAACUCUAUCAUUAAAAACCAAAACAAUAUUUUCCAAUUUAAAUCUGUAAAGGAAAAAAAAAACCAACUUAGCUUUUGAGAUUAAUUCAGUUUUCACAAUUUUUAUAUGGUUUUGCAAAGUAUUUUUUUAUACAGCCUCAAGGAAUGAUCAAUUUGCACUGCAAGUCCUUUGUAUCAGCCCAUACAAGAGCACUCCCUGUGUUAUUCCAUCGUGGAGUGAAGCGGAAGCGUUCCCUGGGCUGUGGAGCAAGUGGAGAGGAAGUGUCAUCCACAAUAUCUGAACAAUGAACAGAGCACCUCGCCACAAAGUCAAUUAUCCUUUCAAAGCAGCCAUCCUGCGUCCUCAGGACCAGAUGUUGGCAUUGUGAGAUAGUGAUUCUAAUCUAAAGGGAAGGCUGGAUUUUUAUUUUUUUUUAAUGUUGGCUUUCCGGGGAUUAAGUUGGAUAUUUUCAAUAUAGUUGAAAGGAGAGAGUUAUAAACCCCCAAACCCAAAUGCUCUUGUUUGUUUCAAACUCAAUCAUUGCCUUCUGGACAAGGUAUGAAAUGGAAAGCCCACUGUGAAUCUCAGAAUAUUUGAUUUCAGGUAAAUUGCCACAUCGGCUGAUGUUUGAAAAAAUAUACCUGUAUCCAAAAAUAUACAUCCACCACUUUGGAUGUGCCUUGGAGCAUCCUGAUCUAGUGGAAGGUGUCCCUGCCCAUGGCAGGGGAGUUGGUACUAGAUGAGCUUUAAGAUCUCUUCCAACCCAAACCAUUCUAGGAUUCCAUGCUCUUUUCACAUGUUUCAGCCACGAAGCCUAAAUCUAUUUUUUUCUUGAUAAAGACAAAUCAGUAAUUAAAUAAUCAAGUUUGAUAAAUAAAAUUCAGGUGGCUGUGGUCUAGGAAAUGCAGCAUAGAUUCUUUUUUAUCUCCUUCAUGACGUGUUUAAAUCUGGUUCUGAUGUCUAAUGACCAAAACUCUUUCUGACUCCUCUCUGGUCUGUGCAGAUCAAACAAUGGCUCUCAACUUCACUCCUAUCUGGUAGCUGUCCGCAUCCCCAGUGCCAAAACAAACCCUUCUCCUCUGUGUUUCCCUCUUAACAACACUGGUACAGAGGCCAGGGACUGACAACCUGUCUCUUAACCAUCCAACCUUCUGUCCCAGGGGAUCAGAAGAAAAAUUAUUGAGGAAACUUUUCCUGUCGUUCAGUCAUUUAGUCGUAUGGGAAAACAGAUUGCCAAGCUGGCAUUCCAGGAUCCCUAAUUCCCUGUGUAAACAUGGGCAGAAGGGGAAGACAGAAAGAACAUGAGAAAAUUGUUAUCACAGAAUCACAGAAUGGUUUGGUUUGGAAGGGACCUUUAAAGCCCAUCUCACUCCACCCCUUGCCAUGGGCAGGGACACCUUCCACUAGACCAGGUUGAUCCGAGCCCUGUCCAACCUGGCCUUGGACACUUCCAGGUGUUCACUCAAACUAAAGUUUUAUAACUGUAUCAGCCACUGUGCUCAUGCAGCCACGUUCCUUAUUUGUCCAGUUGGACAUACUAAAUUACUUUUAUCGUAAUGCUUGAGAAAUAAUUGUCUUACCUCUCUUAGGACAUGCUGGAGGGUUUAUUCUCCCCUUGCUAUCUAAGUAGUUACACUCUUAAAUCCUCAUGCACUGAGAGCAGAAUAGUCUUUAUAUGCCUAGAAAUUUCUAAGCUAUUCUCCCCAAAUCCUAAUUAACCAUUAUUAAAAAUAAUGUGUUCUUUUUAGAGACUGAGAUAUAGCAACAUGAUAAGAUGCGAUGUGAAAAUCCCAAAUAUCACAUAAUGUGUAAUUCUGCUGCUUUACUUUUGCUCUUUUAUUAGAGAUUUCUAACGUAACGCUGCAUUCUCAUUCAAAGUGGCAGGAUUCAAUAGUAUAUAGUGUGCAAACUGCCAAAACAGAGCCACUGGAUUUAGUUUUCCAAUAAUCAAACAAUUGUACAACAUGCCUGUACAUGUCAGAAACUGGAGAAAGCAAAUUUAUACACAACACUGUAUAUUUUGUGGAUAGCGAUAACCCACCCAAAUCUAAUUUAAUCAAAUAUUUAAAGAGGUAAUAAUUAAUUUUUAAAGAAUUGAAGUGAACCGUAACUAGGAAGAAACGUUAUUGUUUAUUUUUAAUGCCAGAACAGUAUUCCUGAUGCAUUUUUAAUAUUUCAUUAAGGCAGGAACUUUCAUACUAUAUUUUUCAAGUUUUUAUAUCUCAUGGAGACUUUUUUUUCCUGAAGAAAGGUGAAAUAUUGUAGGCAAACUUGAGGCUUGAACUGAUACAUUCUUUGAGGAUCUUUUGUCAUAACUAAUUAAACACAACCAGAAGUAUUUUUAAACAAGCUAAGACACAACACCUGGUUGGGAGCCAGGCGAGUGCUUCUUUUUUUUAGCUUGUGUCUGCGUCCUUCCCAUCAGAUAUUGCUUUCUACCCUCUCUUUUGAGCUAUUAUUCAUAAUUCUUACCUUUUAGGAGAGGUAUUUGCAAGCAAGGUUUUAAAGCCCACCACUCCCUGUGCCUUUCAAAGCCACGGAUUACUCUAUCUUGGUCUUUUGUUUUUUUGAUGAAGUGUCUCUCACAUUUUGAGCCUUUUAUACCCAGGACUGUGGAAGGCUGUUUAUUGCACUCUGGCUCCAGCCCUAGUUAAAGGUGUGAACUACCAAAGUGGAAGGGGGCACAUGCACAUUAACACUGCUGUGGAAAACAUCGCUUGACAGAUGGGUGCAUGUUAAAUGGAUGUUUGAAGAAAGGUGUUUGCAAUAAAAAUCUUGAGUAUGGCAUCAGAGGGAGACCACACACAAUUUUCCAGCUUUAUGUCUGUAAUAUAGAAGGGUCAAGCUUGUUAUAGUGCCCGUGCUUUUUACUGUCUCAGACUUUGCUCUGUUGCUCUCAACAGCUUCCAUAGGAAUGUGAAGUAUCAGGGUUCAAAUGUCACGUAAAUAGGUGUGUUUUAAUUCAUAGACACACACCUUUAUAUUUGAUGUGUCAUAGCAAUAUUUCCAAGAAGAGCAGUGGAACUGGAGAAGGGUCUGGAGCACCAGGGGAGGCCGAGGGAGCGGGAGGGGCUCAGCCUGGAGGAAAGGAGGCUCAGGGAGGACCUUUUCACUCUCUGCAGCUCCCUGACAGGAGGGGGGAGCCACAUGGAGGUCAGGCUCUUCCUCUGAGUAUUAGGCAAUAGGACAAGAGGAAAUGAACUCAAGUUGCAUAAGGGAACAUUUAUAUUGGAUAUUAGGGAAAAUUUCUUCCCAGAAAGGGUUACCUAGAGCAGUGGUGGAGUCACCAUCCCUGUAGAUGUGACAGUGAGGGACAUGGCUUAGUGGUGGGCUUGUUGGACUUGGUGAUCUUGAGGGCCUUUUCAGCCUAACUGAUUCAAUUUAUUGCAUUUAUUUUAAAGACAACUAUUUCCAAGGGCCUACCCAGGAGCAUGAGGAUCUGAGAACCUGUGGUAUAAAUUGUUCAUUCAGUGAAUGGAUAACAAAAUGGUCCAAGGGUAAGCUGAGUUUCUCCAGUUUCACUUAGUGGUUCUUGAUCUGUGGAGGAUAAAGGAGAUGUUCUUAACAUCACCCACUUGCAGAACUGGGAAUUCGAUGUGCAGAUCUUCCCUUGCUUGUGAAAAUCUGCCUCUGAACUAAGAGUUCAAGUGUUGAAAUCCUGGUUGAGAGUAUAUAUCCAGGAUUAGGUAUAUAUGUUCAGUGUAAAUAGUCAUUUGGGAUUUCCUUGACACUCUUCUGGUUGGAAACCUGGUUAUAAAAAAACUUCCUUUUUUUCUUUCCCCUUCUCUCCCCUCUUUUUUUUUUCCCCAAUGUAUUGCUAUAAAACACUUGAUGCCUGAAGACUUUUUUCCCCAUUAUUGAACCUCUCCUUUUGUGCAAAGAAGUUGGUUGGGUGCAUGGUAAGAAAGAGGACCAAGAUGAUCUCUCUUUGUCUGAUACUAAGAUGAUGGAGCUGUUUGCUUUUCCCUGGACACAAAGUAAGACUUUCCAAGCAGAUCACUGUAUUGUCUGUAUUUUUGCUCUUUUCCCAAAAUAUUUUUUGGCUAAACCAUCUCCUCUCUACGAAGGGAAAUUUUUCACCCUCUACCUCAGCUGAAUUGUUUUUUUUUUUCUUUAUGUAUGGAGCUCUUCUUUUUUUAACUGAGUUCAUAACUCCUAUUUCUAUUUUCUUCUUUGCCUUUUCAAAUAUCUAGUCCAGGAAUCCUUCCACCUGAGAUUACCAAGAAAAACCUCCCACAAAUAGCAGCUAUGCACAGUUUACAACUUAUAGAUUUGAGUUUGUUUACGUAAACUUGCAAAUAUGAAAGGCUAUGUGAGAAGACUUCAGGCAGAGAACACUCCCCAAUUAUCAGGAGUACAGUGUUUGCGUUGUAUAUGGUGUCUUAUCUACCCAUGUGUACCCACAAAGGACCUUCAGCUACAUCAGCAACAGGAUAUUUCCAUUUUGAACACAGCACUUAAGCACAAAAUGUGAAGUUCCCUCAUCAGCUGAAGCUUUCACCAGAAGAUCCCAAAUUCCUUAGCUGACAGGAUUGCACCAGAGAUGUUUUUAGAUACAGACCCAUCAGCCCUGAGAGAAGAUGAGUGAGUUUACUAUAUUGAAGAGAUCAACAGUAGAUUUAGUAGAGAAAGUAAAGCCUUUGGGCAGAUAAAAAAAAGUCUAAAAAAUCUAGUUUCCAAGCAGAAAACUUGACUAGUGAUGCAGAGAGCAUGGCAGGAGCUAAAAACUCUUUUUGUGCAGAGACAAUGCCUCAGUGUCAAACCCAACACAUGAAAAUAGGAACACUACAUAUUUUUGAGAGAUUGUUUCAAUAUUUGAUCCUGUUUUCAUUCCCAUAGAACAGAAAUAAAUCAUUUUGUUCUGUAGCCCUGAGGGAGUGCAUUGAGUCCUACUUCUUGCCUGAUGCACAGCCCUACAGGUCAGUGUGUGGCUGAGGGAGGUCAGCGCUGAGCACCCUCCACAAUGGGCAGAGUGCUGAGAUGCUUCCUCUCCACUCCUGUUUGCAGUUUCCUCCCUCACUUUGGGAUAACCUCCCUAAAAAUUGUUUAAAGUCCUCCAUGACAAUCCUCCAGGUGCUCAACUCCACCUGUCUUUACAGACCAUGCAGCUGUUUGUCCCCUCAUCUCGGGUGCUGAACCACACGGUGAGAAGUCCCCACCCGGCACUAUCUCAGGCCCCAAAUGAAUCACUUCCUUCCUUAAGUAGGUCUGACACUAAAAGGUGAGGGUUCACAGAGAAAAUAGAUGUGAUUUCAAACAGCCUGCCACACGUGUGGUGAGAAUGGCUCACCAGCCUCACCAGCCUACCUUGCAGGUUCUCUUUUAUGGUCUGUAGCUGGAGGUGCUGAGGUAUCCUCAGAAAGCCACAGGCAGAAACCACACAGAGAUUAAACAUGUGAUAGGGAGAGGCAGGGGAAACGCUCCUGCUCGUUUUCUUGUGCUUGUUCUGCUGAAGAUACACCCAGCAGGACCUCCUUUAGAAGUUUCUGUCUGUUUUCCAAAGGAAAAAAAAAAAAGCACACCAGCAAACCCAAAGCUUGGAAAAAUACUCAACAAAAUCAAGCAUGACAGAAAAACUAUGCAAGGCCAUUGCUGUUACUCUACUCAGCCUUUUUUCCUACUCUUCAUCUACAGUGGAGAAGUACAAGAGACCCAACAGAGCUUUGUUACCUCUUUGCACAUUGGUGGAAGGCUGUGAUAUUUUCUCAAGGCUUUCCCAAUUAACAUCCCUGUAAAAUGUUGUAACAUUUAGCUCCACAUGUUAAAGAAGGUACUUUCUUCUCUAGCUGCCAUUCUCACCAGCUCUGCCUGCUUCAGUGCAGAUCCGUGUGACUGUGGAGCCAGGAGGUGACUUUUUUUUCAAAGUUCACUCAUUUAGAACAUUUAGACAUUUUAGAGCCAUUUAGAACACUGAGAUAUUUUAGAAUUUUUGAGAUUUCUGAGGCAAUUUGGACUGAAGAUGGCAUUUGUUGGUUUAAAUGAAACACUCUAUUUUAACUCUCAAAAAAUGUAUAACCAGGACUGGAGUGAUCAAAAUUCAUGAGUGAUGAAUGACACGUUGCAAAUUAUUUUGCUUUUGCCACGUCUUUCAUGCAAAUGAUGAACUGCAAGGUUCCCUAAUACUUGACAUGAGAAAGCAUUUAUUAAAGUGUUAAUAGCACACACAGAAAAGCUUUAUUGUAAUACACAAACACCUUAUUAAAGUGUUUAUAACACACAAACAAGCUUUCAGAAUUGGGUUAGAAACCAGAUUUAAGUACUGCAGGUAAAUAACACAAUAAAGAGAUAAAAUAUUAAGUGAAUAUCAAAUGGCAGUGUUUAAGGCCGGGUUGGAUGGGGUUUGGAGCAACCUGAUCUAGUGGAAGGUGUCCCUGCCCAUGGCAGGAAGGGCUGGAACAAGAUGGUCUUUAAAGUCCCUUCCAACCCAAACCAUUCUCUGGUUCUAUGAUUCUCUCAUACAUUUUGAAUAAUAAAAGAAAAAAAAAAUCUGUCAAGCAUCUUAUAGACCAGUCAGAACAUGAAAAACCUUGUUGCCUGUUGUGAUGUGGUGACAUCAGAGAGGUUUGGACACUUCUCCACUGUUAAAAGGUGGUCACCAGGGAUUCGGAGCACGAAUCUCCAUGUGCUCCCACCACUGGCUCAGUGUCCAUCAGAGCUGCUCCUGUGAGGCAAAAAGCAUCUCCCAAACAUCUGAUUAUGACCAGCACCCGGUGGGGGAAUUCCUUGCUGUAAAUCUCAGGCCGUAAGUCCAAUCAAAAACCUGAAAAAAAAAAAAAAAGGAGGAAAAUUGCUAAAGGUCUUUUCUAUAUAUACUUCCCACAGAAGAGUAGUAUCGUAAUUCAAACUGCUGCCUGGUUUAGUGCCUUCCCUGCCAGGAUUUGUGUCAGCUGAGUCUUCAAAGCUGACAACCGACGUCACUGGAGAACCUACAAGAUUCCCACUAGUGAAGUGUCACAAGAGGGAACAUCUAUUUUCACAGCAAACUGAAUUCUGCUCCCUGACUAGCAUAUGAUAUAAAUGAGUGCCUCACUCUGCACAGCCUUAUCUCGUUGUAAGGUCACACCUUUCUUUAAUGAGUCUCCUAAAAGUUUACAGCAAGUUUCCUUAGUGACACAGGUAGGGUUUCACUGAUCUCCAGCCAGGGCUGUCAUUAUAAGAGGAUGGGGUUCCAAUUUCUGAUUAAUGAAAAUUAUAAUUAUGUACAGAUAAUGGAAGAAGAGAGAGAUGUUUCCAUGUUACUUUAAACAAAGAAGAGUUAAGGCCUUAUCUUAACUAUGCAUUGGCACUGCAAUGCGAAAUGGUCAUGCAAAAUUAAUUUUUAAUGUGUUCAAUUUAUAUUAAAAAUUUCUGCAAGUGUGUGAAUUUUUUUUCUAA